rnacentral:rRNA from 1 species
AGAGUUUGAUCAUGGUCAGAUUGAACGCCUGGCGGUAGGCUUACACAUGCAAGUCGUGCGAGAAAGUAUCUUCGGAUAUGAGUAAAGCGGCGGACGGGUGAGUAACGCGUAGGAAUCUACCUAGUAGAAGGGGAUAGCCCGAGGAAACUCGGAUUAAUACCGUAUACCUCCUUCGGGAGAAAGAAGGCCUCUCAUUGAAGCUUUCGCUACUAGAUGAGCCUGCGUAAGAUUAGCUUGUUGGUGAGGUAAAGGCUCACCAAGGCAACGAUCUUUAGCGGGUCUGAGAGGACGAUCCGCCACAUUGGGACUGAGACACGGCCCAGACUCCUACGGGAGGCAGCAGUGGGGAAUAUUGGACAAUGGGCGCAAGCCUGAUCCAGCCAUACCGCGUGUGUGAAGAAGGCCCUAGGGUUGUAAAGCACUUUAAGUUGGGAAGAAAAGUUAUUGGCUAAUACCCAAUGACCGUGACAUUACCUUCAGAAUAAGGACCGGCUAAUUCCCGGGGUGCCCAAGCACGCCGCGGUAAUACGGAAGGUCCAAGCGUUAAUCGGAAUUACUGGGCGUAAAGCGCCGCGUAGGUGGUUUAUUAAGUUGGAUGUGAAAUCCCCGGGCUCAACCUGGGAACUGCAUCCAAAACUGAUUCACUAGAGUACGAUAGAGGGAGGUAGAAUUCACAGUGUAGCGGUGGAAUGCGUAGAUAUUGUGAAGAAUACCAAUGGCGAAGGCAGCCUCCUGGAUCUGUACUGACACUGAGGUGCGAAAGCGUGGGUAGCGAACAGGAUUAGGAUACCCUGGUAGUCCACGCCGUAAACGAUGUCAACUAGCUGUUGGGGAACUAUGUUCUUCAGUGGCGCAGCUAACGUAGAAAGUGACCGCCUGGGAGACG